rnacentral:rRNA from 1 species
CAGAUCAGCAUGCUGCGGUGAAUACGUUCCCGGGCCUUGUACACACCGCCCGUCACACCAUGGGAGUCGGUAACACCCGAAGCCUGUAGUCUAACCGCAAGGAGGACGCAGUCGAAGGUGGGAUUGAUGACUGGGGUGAAGUCGUAACAAGGUAAC